GACGAACGCUGGCGGCGUGCUUAACACAUGCAAGUCGAACGGUAAGGCCUUUCGGGGUACACGAGUGGCGAACGGGUGAGUAACACGUGGGUGAUCUGCCCUGCACUUCGGGAUAAGCCCGGGAAUCUGGGUCUAAUACCGGAUAGGACUGCGCGGUGCAUGCCGUGUGGUGGAAAGAUUUAUCGGUGCAGGAUGGGCCCGCGGCCUAUCAGCUUGUUGGUGGGGUAAUGGCCUACCAAGGCGACGACGGGUAGCCGGCCUGAGAGGGCGACCGGCCACACUGGGACUGAGACACGGCCCAGACUCCUACGGGAGGCAGCAGUGGGGAAUAUUGCACAAUGGGCGCAAGCCUGAUGCAGCGACGCCGCGUGAGGGAUGACGGCCUUCGGGUUGUAAACCUCUUUCAGCAGGGACGAAGCGUGAGUGACGGUACCUGCAGAAGAAGCACCGGCCAACUACGUG
rnacentral:rRNA from 1 species